UUACUAACACUGGUUCUCGUAUGAUCACUGAAGUUAAGCAAUGUCAAACCUGGUCAGUAUAUAGAUGGGUGACUGCUUGGGAAUACUAGGUGCUGUAA